AACGAACGCUGGCGGCAUGCCUAACACAUGCAAGUCGAACGAGACCUUCGGGUCUAGUGGCGCACGGGUGCGUAACGCGUGGGAACCUGCCCCUAGGUUCGGAAUAACUCCCCGAAAGGGGUGCUAAUACCGGAUAAUGUCUUCGGACCAAAGAUUUAUCGCCUUUGGAUGGGCCCGCGUUGGAUUAGCUCGUUGGUAGGGUAAAAGCCUACCAAGGCGACGAUCCAUAGCUGGUCUGAGAGGGUGAUCAGCCACACUGGGACUGAGACACGGCCCAGACUGCUACGGGAGGCAGCAGUGGGGAAUAUUGGACAAUGGGCGGAAGCCUGAUCCAGCAAUGCCGCGUGAGUGAUGAAGGCCUUAGUGUUGUAAAGCUCUCUUACCCGGGAUGAUAAUGACAGUACCGGGAGAAUAAGCUCCGGCUAACUCCGUG
rnacentral:rRNA from 1 species